rnacentral:rRNA from 1 species
AACGAACGCUGGCGGCAUGCCUAACACAUGCAAGUCGAACGAGACCUCCGGGUGUGGUUGCGCACGGGUGCGUCACGCGUCGGACCCUUCCCGUAUAUUCGGGAUUACACUCCUACGGGGGUGCUAAUACCGGGUAAUUUCUGCUGACAAAAGAUUUGUCGCCCUAGGGUGGGCACGCGUUGGUUUAGCUAGUUGGUAGGGUAAAAGCCUACCAAGGCGACGAUACAUAGCUGGUCAGAGAGGAUGAUAAGCCACACUGAGACUGAGAAGCGGCCCAGAAUCCUACGGGAGGCAGGAGUGGGGAAUCCUGGACUACGGGGGAAAGCAUGAUCCAGCUAUGGCGGGUGAGUGAUGAAGGCCUUAGAGUUGUAAAGCUCUUUUACCCGGGAUGAUAAUGACAGUACCGGGAGAAUAAGCACCGGCUAACUCCGUG